rnacentral:rRNA from 1 species
AGCAGUAGCCGCGGUAAAACGUAGGGGGCAAGCGUUAUCCGGAAUUACUGGGUGUAAAGGGCUCGCAGGCGGUUUCUUAAGUCUGAUGUGAAAGCCCCCGGCUCAACCGGGGAGGGUCAUUGGAAACUGGGAAACUUGAGUGCAGAAGAGGAGAGUGGAAUUCCACGUGUAGCGGUGAAAUGCGUAGAGAUGUGGAGGAACACCAGUGGCGAAGGCGACUCUCUGGUCUGUAACUGACGCUGAGGAGCGAAAGCGUGGGGAGCGAACAGGAUUAGAUACCCCUGUAGUCCCUGUCUCUUAUAC